rnacentral:lncRNA from 1 species
CAAGGAUGAAUUUCCUACCAGUAAUUGCAUAUCAAACACAAUCAAAUGAACCCCAAUUUGCUAAAGGAUCAUUCCUUAUUGUUUUGACAAUAGGAUUUGGAGACCUACUGCAGUUUCACUUUGCCAUUUUUUUCAAUAAAGUUUCAAUGAGUUUAACAGAUUAUCUAUUUAGGUCUGUAAUGAUGAUGAGAACAGGAAAUUCGGACAGGAAAAUGGGUCGCUUCUUAGGCUUCCUGCCAGACUUUGAAAACCACCAUAACAAGUUGUUUCUGCCAAAGUGGGUAUGAGUGAUACAGAAGAACGUAUAUGAGGCAGAGGUUGAUUCUUCCAGACUCUAGGAGGAAAAGCAUCGAAGAUAUUCCACAGAGAAACCUGAAAGCAUCGUAAAGGUAAGAAACGAACAGGUGACAAUAACUAGGAAGAAUUUGUCCUUCUUUAUGUGGAGAUUAUAAAAAAAAAAAGAAAAUAGAAGAUACAAAGGAGGAAAGCAUUGUUCCUUAUAGCAUGUUGCUGGUUGUCGCAGCUAGAUUACCAUUGACUGUUGCAAAGCUGAGCAAGCACAAAACCAUGAAUGAUAGAUGCUUUAUAUAGAAUGGAAGUUGGGAAUAGAAGAUGGCAGGCAGGAGGAGGCAAGCACAAACAGCAAGAUAAUUAUGCUGAAACCCAAUCAGGUGCCUCACAGGGCAUUAUACUAUUUCCUCUCACUUGUUAAAGGCACGUGGGCCUAUAGAUCUCAAAAUAGGUGAAUUGAAACAUGAGUAACAUUGAGAAUUUGGCUACAAGUGUCAUAAAGAUAAAUGGCUUGGAAAUUAUUUAAAGUUCAUCAAAUGUCCUGACUCUUCUAAGAACCUCAACAAACCAAAAGGUUCUUAAGUGAAGAACUUUUCAUGUACUGCCUAAACAAUAAAUAAUGUGAUCUCCUGUGCUCCUCUUAAUUUCUCAAAGUUCCCAGAGUAUUUUUUUUAAUUAAGAAGUUUGCUCUAAUGGGAACAAAUAUUACAAAUUAUUACAAAACAAAAUAUAUCCUAUAUAUUCUAGUCUCUCUAUACCAUAUAUUAUAUAGACAGUAUAUGAUGUUCUAUAUAUUAUAUUCUAGAUUUCAAACUGGUGGCAGUCAGUUAAUUUCCAUUCUCCCAUUCACACAAAAUCACCAUAUGUACUCAAAAUUAUCAUCUCCCUUCUUUUAUACAGACUAAGGAAUCCCAUUUUGCAUUAUGCUUUACCUUGCAUUUUUCAGCACUUCUACUAUUUCCAUUUGUCUUCUGUAUGCCCUUGUCAAUUGAUUAAAAUAUAGAGUUCGAAACAGGCAAAAUGAUAGGCUUAGUAGUUUUGGAUACGUGGAGCCCGUGAUGCUGUCCUUAUUUAUACAUCUUCGAGACCAAUAAUCAUUUACCUACAGGCAUUGCUGACUCAUGGUUAGUUCUCAAGUCUUUCUAAUCCAUUGUUCUCCACCAAUCAUGCCCAAUUUUAUGUCUGUGAGGCCAUUGUGAGAUCUCUUUUACUUGGGAAUUUCAUAUCACUAUUUGCCUAGCAACAUUUCCUUUUUUUUUUUUUCCUGCCAACAUUUCCAAUUGUAAAUUUGGUUUUCAGCUAUGUUAACUGUGAUGUUGAUAACAGAUCUCUGCUUUAAGUUAUAAUAAAGCCAAAUAAAUUCAGGUUGUUGGAACUCUCCUUGAAGGACCUCCUGGUUUGGUAAUGAAUUCUUGGUCAUUUUUUAGCUGUUAGAAAACUUAUAACAUGUUUUCAGUAUUUAGAAGUAAUAGGAGCAAAGAAAAAAUUUUCUGAUGUGUGGAGGGCUCUAAGGUUCAUCAACUAGUAAAGAUAUGGGUAUAUAAUUUAUUGUUUUAAAUUCCAUGCUAUCACUGUCCAUGUGGCAGAAACUGUUUUUUACUAAAAACAUUAUUAAAUAGUACAAAGCAGUUUUGCAGUGCAUGAUUGCCAACAUUAUGAAAUAUUUACAGAUUCAUUUGAGUGAGCUCUGCCUUAAGUUAAUUUUAUAGUAAUAUAUUAUUCAGAAUUCCAUUAAAACCUAAGAGUAAAGUCUUAAUUUUAGUGAAUUCUAGAAAAAUUAAAAUGACUUUGUUGCUAGAUUUCACAAACCUGAGUUCCCAGAAUAUCCUGGAAUCAAGUGGAACAAGAUGUCUUUUAAUAACUUUUAAGAAAAUAAAAAAAGAAUAUUUAGGGAGGAAAAGGUGGGUAAUGGAAAGGAAUAGCUGACUACUCACAAGUGUGAUGAAGUGCCUCAAGAUGCAAAGCGAAAUUACAUAUAGCUGUCUAAUACUGACUUACUACUGCAUAUGCUUUUGAGUUUUCACAGUUUUUCUCAUGAGUUGUGACAGGAUGACAACAAAACUACUGCCUUAAUUACACGAAGAUUGGAAGGUGUGUAACAGCCCCUCAAGAUGACUGAAGAAAUUUCACAUGAAAUACAAACCUCAAGACUAGCAUUUAAAUAUGCCAAGAUAAAAAUUUUAAAGUCCCAUAAUGGCCACAAUCUUGAUGUUCUAUCCGUUCGUUGAUGUAGGCUGCUGUUUACAUUUGGAACCAAAAGCCAACUAGCCCUUUUUAGCAUGACGUGAAUAUAUUUUCUAAAAAUUAGUUACAACCUUCACUGGAAAUCUUCUGGUUCCCACAAAGUCAUUUAAGGUAAAAACCGCAAAAGAUAUGAAGUGAUGGACUUCUAAUAAUGAAUUAUUUCACCUAGUGACAUUAUUUAUGUAUAUCGGGUAGUCCAGAUCUCACAGUUGAGCAAAUUUCCCCAAAGCCAAGUCACAGCUUGCCAUUACCCUCUGUAUUUGAAGAUGACAUUCCUGGUCAUGAGUGUGCUCCAAGUGGAAGCGUAGAAGGAGAAACCGAUAUGCAAUAACACUUUCCACAUGUAGAGAUGACUCCUUAAUUUUCAAGGUUUUCUAAGACUUGACUGCCCAGAUGUUGUAUUAAAAAGACCAACAGUCUCUGACUGCUGCAUGUAGGCCUCUGCGCCAGCCAGGUGUUUGGACUGCAGCAGCUAAUAAACGUGAGAGCAUUUCUAUUUUCUAUUUUCUUUGCCUGCCUCCUCCUCGGUUCACUGUACAGCAGUGGCUUCGGGAUCUGACUGUCAUUCAUUCUCCACACAUCUACAGCCUCAGAGGGUUGUGCUGUGAUGAGCCGUAGCACUUCUAUACUGGCAGACUGGCUGAGUUCCAGCCCUUGUUUUAAAGGAUCCUGUCUUGCCAGUUAAUGUAAAGUAUUGCUCUGGUCUGGGCCAGUGAGUUCAGGAGCAAGGUUCUCGUGAAGGUCUGCUAGGGCCCUGGAAUGCUACUUAGGGACCACCUCCAGUCUCUGAUCACUAAAUCAGUGAUGUUCGUGGAGGUUAAAUGCAUGUCAAAAGGAAAAGGAUCAUUAAUGUGUUCUAUGUAUUCAAAAGGCAAUGGAUUUUAUCCUUAACCCUCCCCUAUUACUAAUAAGGUGAGAUAUGGUUUACUGAGUGAUCCAAGACUAACCAAGAUGACAACUGUAUUGGAGGUCAAUUCAGAGGAAGACAAGCAAAUUUGCAGCAUAUAUUCUGUAAGAUAUAGAACUGACACCAAAGUCAAAGCUGAGGAGUUGGUGCUCAUAGUUAUAGCUCAAAAAUGUAAACAAAAACUCAACAACUUUAGAAAACUCUCCUAAAGAUUUAACUGACUACAUAGGAAAGAGCCUAAACACGUAGAUGGCACAACAGAUUAUCUCCUCCAGCAGCUGUCAUCAGAGAGGUAAAGAACUUCUACUCCAUUUUGCAGCAACUAAGUCCAGAUGCUAUUAUUACUUAAGAAUAGGAAGCCGGAGAACCUAUAUAUACAGCUGUGUACCACCUGACCACCACAGCCCCGUGUACUAUAUCCUAAUGCCAGUAGAUGUGGAGAAUGAAGAGAAAUGUAAAAAUUUAAUAAAGUUUAGAACUAACACUGUCUCUUUAUGUCCAAACUAGUUUGAUUAUUCAUUAUUUGGAUGUUUUUUUUUCUUUGUAAUAAUGUCGUAACCUCAUAAGUUACUUUUAAAAAAGAGAAAGAAUGAAUGAAGAAAAUAUGUGAAAGAAAAUGCCUGUAAACCUGAUGUUGAUGUCUCUGAGCUAUUGUAAACUGCUGAGCAAAUGCUUAGAUUGAUAAUAUGAAUGCUUUCAUUUCUGGAGUGGAAGAAAAGUGAAAUUAGUAAUGUGAUGUAAUUAAAAUAUUAUGUCUUCUGUAACAUGUUCUAGAUAUACUAUUUGUUAUGUCAUAUAACUGCUUAUAUCUUGAAGAUAUUUAUCUUAUUGAGUAAAUAAAACUUUGCUUUUCCCCCCA